GAUGAACGCUGGCGGCGUGCCUAAUACAUGCAAGUCGAGCGAACAGACAAGGAGCUUGCUCCUCUGACGUUAGCGGCGGACGGGUGAGUAACACGUGGAUAACCUACCUAUAAGACUGGGAUAACUUCGGGAAACCGGAGCUAAUACCGGAUAAUAUAUUGAACCGCAUGGUUCAAUAGUGAAAGACGGUUUUGCUGUCACUUAUAGAUGGAUCCGCGCCGCAUUAGCUAGUUGGUAAGGUAACGGCUUACCAAGGCAACGAUGCGUAGCCGACCUGAGAGGGUGAUCGGCCACACUGGAACUGAGACACGGUCCAGACUCCUACGGGAGGCAGCAGUAGGGAAUCUUCCGCAAUGGGCGAAAGCCUGACGGAGCAACGCCGCGUGAGUGAUGAAGGUCUUCGGAUCGUAAAACUCUGUUAUUAGGGAAGAACAAAUGUGUAAGUAACUAUGCACGUCCUGACGGUACCUAAUCAGAAAGCCACGGCUAACUACGUG
rnacentral:rRNA from 1 species